UAGUGGUUCCUCCUUAAGGUUUCAGUGUGCUGGUAUCCAUGAGUUCCUCCUUAAGGUUUCAGUGUGUUGGCAUCCAUAGUGGUUCCUCCUUAAGGUUUCAGUGUGUUGGCAUCCAUAGAGGUUCCACCUUAAGGUUUCAGUGUGUUGGCAUCCAUAGAGGUUCCACCUUAAGGUUUCAGUGUGUUGGCAUCCAUAGAGGUUCCACCUUAAGGUUUCAGUGUGUUGGCAUCCAUAGAGGUUCCACCUUAAGGUUUCAGUGUGUUGGCAUCCAUAGAGGUUCCACCUUAAGGUUUCAGUGUACUGAUAUCCAUAGCGGUUCCAUCUGCUCAAUGUGAGGAUAGCUGGUCCAUUCUGAACCUGGACAAGCCCCUCCAUCCCUGGUAUGUUCUUCUGCACCGUGUCACGACAGAAGAUGACUCACUCACGCUUCCCCGCAGUUUCACGCCCAACAGCUGAACGUCGAGGUUAUAAUUACCCGUUUGCUUGAGUCUGAGAUGUUUGGCCGCUCAUGUCCAUCUUUCCAACAGUCUGCAGCUGUGAGCUGCCAGGAAAGAAGCUCAUGAAUUUCAUUGAUUUGCAUCAUCGUUUUAUAAAAACCAGGUUUCAUCAGGAGGGCUUCCCACCCUCUGCACACUGCGUGUCUGAGAGUCCAUCCCAUAAUACUGCGUCUGAGCCUGGAGGUGGACACCAGGAAAUAGGACAGUAGAUAUGACAACAGGGUAGUAGAAACACCGUAAUUUCUCUAUUGAUCUGUCUGUCUUAGAUAGAGGACAUAUUUAAGAACACGGCUUUUAGUAAGAGUAAAUCAAUGAGUAAAUUAAAGACUACAAUCCAUGAUUGGAUCUAGAGCCAAAGCAAUAUUAAACACAAACCUGUCAAAUGUGUUUUAUUAACAUCAAUCUCUCUAAGAAGUUCCCUGUUUGUUGAGUCAAGUAAAUCUUAGACCUGAAUUGAUCAGAACACUUGAAUCUGAUGACCAUAUUUUGACAAAAGGUAUAGAAUCACAUACUCUUUCCAUAGAUGAUCUUUAUCUUAUGGUUUCGUGGUUAAUCCUGUUACCUCGUAUCUCAAGGACCAGGGUUCCAGUCUCGACCCUGACUGUCUCGUGGAGUUUGUAUGUUCUCGUGUUUCCUCUCCGCGAGCUUAAAAACAAGCUAAGGUGAAUUAGAGUUGCCAGAUGGUCCAUCAGUGUAUGUGUCCUGCGGUGGGUUGGUGCCCCAUGCUGGAUUGUUCCCUGUCUUGUACCCAUUGUUUCUGAGA